UAAAUGGUACGCUGCCACUUUAAGACCAAUUUCAGCUGCUGCAUAUAAGCAGGCCUCUACCUGCCACAAGACUACUUGCGUCAUGACGUCAACUCAUUCUGCUUCCUUUGUUUGCUGAACUGUGCUGGGUAAGCGUGGCUGUUUCUUUGUUUGUCAGCUUUUAUCGUAGCAAUUAAUGCAAGCUGGUCUGAUCUGUUUAGCCUCCCUUGCUGCUCCUCCAACUCCUGGACCAAUCUGUUCGGUUGUUUGUUUGUUGCCGGGAAGCUGCGCUCCAUAGGCGAACUUGUGGAUCUGUUUAUCUGGCAGUGUGGUAAUUUACAGGUAAGCAGCUACCGUAAGUUAUAGUUUUUAUCAGCAGUAGUAUUAAUAAUCUACUUUAUUUUUUAGCCUCCUGCUGAGUCCCUGACGACUAUUAUAUUUGGAUGUACACUCGCUGCUGUUUUGCCUACGAUGAAUUGUUUUAAAAGAUUUGUAUGAACUUUCCCCCGCUGCCGGGAGCAUUGAUGGCACUACGAACGGGA